GAACAUAGCUUCACCAUUUUUUAUUCCUAAUUGUGGUUCCAUUGGAGAGGAGGAGUGAAGGGAUAGCUAGGCACGCUAGCCGUUGGGUCAGUGGGCAUAGACAACUGCUCGCAUGGCACCUAUGCCUAGGAUCGGUAACAUAGCUCAGCGACAUUUUUUCUGGGAUAACAUUGGAAUCCAUGAAUGACUCUUUUAACGGGA
rnacentral:lncRNA from 1 species